CCGGCCCCCAGGGCUGUGGGUGCAGUUUGGGGGGGGCUGUACAUCAUCACGGUCCUGCCUACGACAUAAACUUUAUGCUGCGUAUCAAGUCACGUGAGCACCAAAACUUGAUCUUUCUGAGAGCUUCUUGUAUGCAGCCAGCUAAAUAACAAAGGCUUGUGUCAUAAAAGGAUGAAUAAGAUUAUUCUGGUAGCAUACAUACCGAAGGAUGUGUCCCAUGAUUGCAACUCUGGGCUGCAGUCAGUUGUUGGUAAACUAUCCUGUGAAGAAUUUACAGGAUUGAGAGACACAAGGGUCCUGGCUCUCAGAAGAACUCCUACCUGUGGAAGUAUACUAUUUGUUAUUGGGUAAGUAUUUCCCAGAGCCCCAUGUCAAAGGAGUCACCACUCUGGGUCUGCCUGUGCUUUCUGAGUCAGAAAUUGCAUAGAGAUAUUCUGUGUAAAGAACCAUGAGGGAAUUGAGGUUUAUUUGAUUUUUUAUUAUUCUUAUUACUAUUACCACUCAUACUUUACACUAUGGUCCUCUGUAAUAUCAUGCUUGAAUCAGUUACACAAGGUAGUUAUUAAUUCUGAAUAAUAAUUUGUAUUAAACUUGCUGGAAUAUAUUGCUAUGUCUUUGUUUGUUGUAGUCUGCAAAUAGGAAAUAAUUAUUCCUUAGUUGUCUUUAAUCAAUACCUUGCUCCAGGUACUACUUAGAAAAUCUUUAGGCUGAGGUGGAGCUUGGGCACUGUCAUAUGGCAACUCUGGAGGCAGUGUUGGACAACAUGAGGGCCAUCUGCAGAAUCUGCACUCAACAAUCACAACUCUGUGAAACUCUUAAAUAAAACUAUUUCACAACAAGAUUGUGGAACA
rnacentral:lncRNA from 1 species